rnacentral:rRNA from 1 species
GCUAUUUCUUAGAGAUUAGAAAGUUUACUUCGGUUACAUCGGUGACAGGUGGUGGCAUGGUUGUCGUCAGCUCGUGUCGUGAGAUGUUGGGUUAAGUCCCGCAACGAGCGCAACCCCUAUUGUUAGUUGCCAUCAUUCAGUUUGGGCACUCUAGCGAGACUGCCGGUAAUAAACCGGAGGAAGGUGGGGAUGACGUCAAAUCAUCAUGCCCCUUAUGACCUGGGCUACACACGUGCUCAAUGGUUGGUACAACGAGUUGCGAGUCGGUGACGGCGAGCUAAUCUCUUAAAGCCAAUCUCAGUUCGGAUUGUAGGCUGCAACUCGCCUACAUGAAGUCGGAAUCGCUAGUAAUCGCGGAUCAGCACGCCGCGGUGAAUACGUUCCCGGGCCUU